UACAGAGGGGGCGAGCGUUGUUCGGAAUUACUGGGCGUAAAGGGCGCGUAGGCGGCCUGCUAAGUCGAACGUGAAAUCCCCAGGCUUAACCUGGGAACUGCGUCCGAUACUGGUGGGCUUGAAUCCGGGAGAGGGAUGUGGAAUUCCAGGUGUAGCGGUGAAAUGCGUAGAUAUCUGGAGGAACACCGGUGGCGAAGGCGGCAUCCUGGACCGGUAUUGACGCUGAGGCGCGAAAGCUAGGGGAGCAAACGGG
rnacentral:rRNA from 1 species